GUGUAGGCACCUCUUCCACGCCCACCGCGCACAUGCUAUGCAGUAUACACACUCCAGAAGAGGCACGCCACACAGAAUCGACAUUACUGCCUAAUAUCCAACCACAAUAACAGUAAGGAAACAAUAAGGAACAUUGUUCAAUUUUAUUCUAUCAGAUUCAGCAAAUCAUCAUAAGCUACAAGUUAACUUACAACUGCCCCACCCAGUACUAGAAAAAGACAUAAUAAUUGAAGAUGAAGUAAUCGACUUAAUCCAAUUGAAGCAGAAACAUCAAGAGUAACAACCCAAUUAAACUUAUGCAAUUCAAGAAAUCAAGUGACGCGCCAAAAAAAAAAAACUAUGAGUGGCAUUACCUGAUCCUUGACUACUCCGAAUCGAGAAAGAAGAUGAAUGGAACCCAAGUGCCCAAUUUCAUAACUGGUUGAAGAAAGUAAGGAUCUUGGGCAUCAAAGACAGUAUAGGAUUCGACAGUUCCUUGAAUUUUCAGACGGGCGGCUUUUGUCGGGCAUGAAACGAAAAGUGAGCUAUUUAGUCAUCCAUUAGAGCUGUGCAAUGUUUUCUCAAAAAA
rnacentral:lncRNA from 1 species